UCGCCAGAUACGCGGCGUGUAGUGGCGUUGGUUCAAGAGAAAUAAUAUUUAAGUGUCGCGGACUCCCGUGGAACGAUCAUAAAAAGAUUGUUUUCUUCGCGAGUGGGCGAAAUAUUUUGUUGCACCGCCGCGAGGAAGCCCAGCGGUAUGGAGGCAUCCUUCCACAACGAUGUGCUCUGAAACUGCGGCUUAUCAGCUGCUGCUGAAGACCUUCCAAGAUUCUCGUGUCAUUUCCUACAUGAUGGUCCAGGGAUUGUGUGGUCCUGAUAAAGGAGAGCUGAGUCAGUGACCCAGACUGACAGAGAAAGGUCCGGUGGGAGCCAGUGCUCUACUCACUGCACAACAGAUGGUUUUCACAAUGAAGAGAUAUCAAACCCUGACCUUGCAAGAGUUUC